AUAAUGAAAUAACUUAGGGGAAGGUGUUGUACCUUGGGACAGUUUGAAAACAAUUUUUUUAAUAUUUCGGUUAAGUUUAUAGUAGAAAUGUUGGUAAAUAUCUUAUUGCUUGCCAUUAAAGAAUCUAUAAACACUUUGAAAAUUAAAGAUGUGUUAUUUUAUAAAGGAGUAAUAAAUUAUUUUUUACACCCUUGAAAAGUAUUUCAAAAUACAACAACCAUGCACCUUGAGAAGUAGGGUGUUGUACCUUAGUACUAAUUAAAAAAUACAGCAAAUAAAUCUUAAUUAAUGAAGACAAAACAUUAUAUAAAAAGGCUUUAUCUGCCAGACUAGUUCAGAUGCACUGGAAUUCACAGGGAACUUGGAUAAUUGAAGACCCUGUUGCAAGGGGUGAAGGCAAUUGACCUAUUAUUUUUUUUCAUCUAUUUCUUUUAUAAUUUCAUUUCUUAAACGGAAAAUGUUAAUUCCUGUUUUACAAACACAAGAUCUUCCCGCUUUAACAAUUGAGUCCCCAAAUACGACAUAUUGAAAAACAGCAAAAGCGUGGCCUGUUAAAGUGUUUGCAAUUAGUUGUUCAAAUUAACUAACCUUACUAUUAAGUGGAACACAAUUAAAAGUUCCAUGCAAUAUCUUAAUUUUUAACACCAAUCAAUUUGGGGGGAAAAUGAAUGGAGUAAUAAUUUACUUUCCGAUGAAAUGUUUCCCUUUUUCUUUAUUGCUCCCACAAAUCUCACUUUGAAAUUGCUAGCUACUCUAUACUAACUUGGUUGCUAAGGAAAUUACUAGGUCAGGUUAGUUUUGUUAGUCGAUUAUUAAUGGCAAAGCCAUGCUGUUCGUCUCAAGGUACAACUAUCUCCCCUAUAAUUGAACCUAUUCAUUUAAAUUGUGGUAAACAGAAAGCUGUAAUGUGCACAGAAUAAAAGCCCUGUCCUUCAUGGGUUACAAUUUAGUCUUUUUGUACCUCUGAUCAGGCAUUGUUCAUGGUUUAAUUAAAAUUAUAAUAGGCUAUUCAAUUACAUAAGCAGUUAUUUUAAGAAACAAAAUGUAUAUUAUUUACAAUAUUUUGUUUCCAUAUAAAUUUCGUUUGAGAGCUUUUUAUAUUUUGCAUUAAAUUACAGCUAUUUUUAUAAAUGCAAAAAACCAAUUUACUUAUUAUUUUUAGUUGGACAAAGAAAUCGCCGGUUUUCCGACCAAGGAGGAGUUGGACUUAAUCAAAGAAAUCGUCGUUUCCCGGAACAGUCCAUGAGAGAGAGAGAAUUUUCUGAUAACGAUGGAGGAUUUCCCAGACGCAGACGUUUUGCUGGAAUCGCAGAUGAUUAGUUUUGUUUAUUGAACUUGUUAAAGAAAUAAAUAAAAAAGUUGUCAUUUACUCUGGCAUUGUAUUAUAACAUAAAAUGCAAUUUUUUAGCUUUCAUAUUUAUCAGCUGAAUUACAAAUAUCACAGGAUGAUGAAUUAGUAAUCCAAGUGUCAAUUCUUAUGUAUAGUUAUAGGUUGAAUAAAAUUUUUGUUCUCAA